AACGCACAUUGCGCCCUUUGGCAUUCCGAAGGGCAUGCCCGUUCGAGCGUCAUUACACCACUCAAGCCUGGCUUGGUAUUGGGCGCCGGGAGUCUCCCGCGCCCCUAAUUCGUCGGCUGGACGGUUCGAAUCUCAGCGUUGUGGUUUCAUCAAAUCGCUGGCGAAGACGACCGGACGCGCCGUAAAACAUUCACUACAGGUUGACCUCGGAUCGGGUAGGGAUACCCGCUGAACUUAA
rnacentral:misc_RNA from 1 species